AUGUGAGUGUCUGACCUAAAGAGUUGGAAAUUGGAACUGUCAUAAUUCACAGUAGUACUUUGUCUUCAUUGAUUACAUCAUGAAAAGCUGAUAUUUUGGAAGAAUGGAUGUAUACAGCCUGUCUAGAUUUCAAAGAAAUGCUGUACAUUGGCUAUACACAUGCCAGGUUUGAAGACUUCAUGUAUAACUUGACAGGACCUGAUGUAAGCACAUUGGCCACUUUUGAUGGGUGUUGCAGAAUAUCCAGAAUGCGGCAUAACGGCGCUUGUUGCAAAAAAAGGGAACUUCAAAGUUUUAAAUGACUUAAAAG